CAGAAAAAUCAUUCCAGACACUUAAAUCAGACUAUGUUACAUCUGCCAAAGAACUUCCUGACACUUUUGUGAUGUCUAAUAUGUGAUAUAGUCAAAAUAUUUUCUUCUAAAUGUCAGUUGCAACAUAUUUGAAAACAGAAGGUGGCAACAUGUUCAUAUUAUUACUUAAAGAGAUACCAAAUAAACUUUUUUAAAAGCACAAAGAAACUCUUACACAAGAUUAUGAAACCUGAAUCCAUCCUAAAUUCAGCUUUUAUUUUUAAAAAACUACAUGGAUCCCGUUUAUCUGUAAGUACUUGGAAUCUGGGUAUCUCUUAUAAUGAGUUUGCUAGAAUGUGACAAAGCAUUUCAAUGUCUUAUUGACUAAGUUUUGGUCUAGACAUUAUGAAGUCACAUAAACAUAUCCAGCACCUUCAGAUCAAUCUUAACUUACAGAUAACUCAACUAGUCCUUUUAGAGGCUGUGCUUUCUUGAAAGGAAUGAAAUAGAAGCUGUUUUUUAAGCCCCAGUGAGCAUGUGUUUCGUAAUAAGUGGACCCAGCCCAGUACUCUUGCGUAAAGAGAAAUCCUUUCCGUGCUGCAAUGAAUCAUUAAGUCAUGGAGUAUUUAUAAUCUGAGAUGUCUCCCUUUCUUCUAUUUGGAUCUGUUUCUUGGAGCAUUUUCUUUUUAGGAUAUCUGAAGUCAAACUGUUCCUUUAUCUCUCAGCUAAGGAGCCUAGAGCUGUACACCACAGCUCUUUGAUUUUGAUCUUCCCAGUUGUCUGUGCAAAUUUGGGUUUCUGAGAAGAAGCAAUGUCAGUUUAAGAGUUAAAUAACUUCUUUCUGAAACUCUAAUUUAAACUGUAAAUGUUUUUAGAGGUAUUAUUCACAGAACAGCUGUAGGAAAUGCCUUCAUUUUUUAUAUUUGUAUUUUUUUUAAUUUUGGAAGCAGCAUAAUUAUCUUUGCCCCUUUCCUCCUUCCUUAAAAGACAGUUAUGACUCAUGCAGGCACGUCAGCUGAAGGGCGUGAGCUUCUACUUGGAUUCUACUCAAAGGAAUUUACCUUAGAAUUUAUGUGGUAGUGCAAUUUCCGACCAAUGCUCAAAAUACUUACUCCUACCUUUGCUUUCAACUGCAUUUGGCAAAACAAAACUAAACAAAAUGAAAACAAACUAACAGUUAAACAAAAUGCACCUUUCUCUAUACGCAAGUAAUUGGAAAAGCUUCCCUGUAAUACAGUAUUUAUACAACAUUAUAAUAUCGUAUUAAAAAAGCAUGAUGUUAGCAAAUUAGAUCAUUAUUAUGUAGAAAAUGUUAAAUACAUUGUUAAACUGAAUUUGAGGGUACCAAAAGGUCAGAGAGUUUUAAUUUAGGAAGGCCUUGGGAUGGAAGUAGAUUAAAUCACUUUGAAUAACGUUAGCAAUCAAUUGUGAAGCUGAGAAGAGAAUAGUUUCAAUUCAUGCCAGCCUUGUAGACCAAUACAGACAAAUGGCCAGAUAAAUAUUAACAUUUAUCAGCAGCUGAAGUAAAAUAAAUAGACAUGAGUAAAUAUCAUAAAAGCAUGAGCGAAUAAAGCUUUAUGCCUUAAAACAUUCAUUUCCCAUCAGUCUACAUAGGUAUUCAUCAAGUCCACAAUUUAUGUGUCACAAUUAUAGAAUUUUUAAAAUCUUAUUUUAAGAACAUUCAAGAUAAUAGAGAUGGAAUGUUAAAGGAGUUAUUUUAAAAUAGUCUUACUGAGCUAUCUCUGGGCAAUAGUUCAGGAAAAGUAAAAACACUUGUCCUCUACUGAUAGAUGACAGUGAUAUGAGUGACAGAAAUAUUUAUUGCAGGAAACAAUAUUCAGAUAUUUAAAAUAGUGGUAGUGGUGGUGAUGAUAAUAAUUGCUUUUGACUUGAUUUUCAAUUGAGAUUCCACUUUGAAUCCUACCAAUUAGUUACUUACUUUGUAAUUUUUUUUAUUUUAUAAAUUUAAUUAUGUAUUAGUAAAUUAUGUAUUUUAUAAACUUAUUUUCUCUUCAUAACAUGAAGGAAGGAUUCUAAGGCCUUAAACACUGAGUUUGAUGGGUAAAUAUUUAGAUUAUAAGAAUAAUGCUAGAUUUCCAUUGUUGUCUCAAGAUUUUGGCCAUAGUGAGUUCAUUUUCAUCCCGGAACAGAAUCAUACUGAAUGAUUAGCAGAGGGGUAACUGUGCGUAGUGUUUCUGCAGAGUUGAGGAAAAACCUGGAGGACCUUGAGGUUCAUCUUGAGAUGUCCUCUGACAUCUUCCUAAAAGCUGCUCUCCAGGAAGCCAAAGCUUUCCUUUCUGGAUUCAUUAUCAUGCAAUAGCCAGAGCUUCCGUUGCAAAAUCAGUAUGGAUUGUACUGUGAUUUGUACACCAUAAAAAUGUCAAUGCUGUAGUUUUCCUUGUUAUUGUCCUCAUUGUUUUCUUUUGUUUUUUACAUUUAAAGGUUUCUUUUAUAUUGUUAAACAACUAUGUGGGGAUGGUGGUAUUUGAAGAGAUUGAAUUCCCAAAUGACCUGUGUUGGUCGUGCAAAAACCUUAUUCUAAUCAUCUGCUUUUGUCCAUCCUCAAAUAUUGGUUUUACUGGAGAAAUCCGGCUGCUUUCUCUUUUAGGGUAUGAGAUUAUUACAAAAGCAUUGUAAUACAUAGAGAAUUCCCAGGGCAUUUGUGGAAAAGAUUUGCUCCCAUUGAAUGUUGGACAUCAGAGAUACCUGAGUCUUCCCCAGCAAAGGCAACGGUCCCACCAUGACUCAAUAAGCAACUCCACAGCUGCUCCUGCCAAUCACUGUAUUUCGCCAUCAUUCUUCUGGCCCCAUGAGAGAGGUCCACGUGAGCUGAACUGGG
rnacentral:lncRNA from 1 species